UUUCCCAUUUGACUACCACAUUUUCUUCAAUUAAUAGAUUUUAGUGGUAAUGUGUGUGGGAUAGAUUAAAGUUGCCAUGAUCUGAAAGGGGAGGCGUUUUUGGUACCCUCCUUCUAUAUGAAAUGGCUGAACAGAAAAAG
rnacentral:snoRNA from 13 species